CCUCCUGAGAACGGGCGGGCUGGCAGCGACCCUAGAUAGUGGUCAGGAGAGUGUGAGGGUUUACGAAAGUGUUUACUGAUCGAUCCAAAUAAAAGUGAAAUGUGUGGUCGGGUGCGGUGGCCCACCUCUGUAAUCCCAGCACUUUGGAAGGCCGAGGCGGGCGGAUCACCUGAGAUCAGGAGUUCGAGACCAGCCUGGCCAACAUGGCGAAACCCCGUCUCAAUUGAAAAUACAAACAUUAGCCGGGCAUGGUGGCAGACGCCUGUAAUCCCAGCUACUCGGGAGGCUGAGGAAGGAAAAUCGCUGGAACCCGGGAGGCGGAGGCUGCAGUGAGCCGAGAUCGCGCCAUUGCACUCCAGCCUGGGCGACAAGAGCGAAACUCCGUCUCAAAAAAAAAGAGAAGAAAAAGUGAAAUGUGGAUGUAACAACGCACUUUUAAAAAAUAGUCUAAACAUCUGAGGAAUGUGUCUGUGUUUGCAGCGUCCAGCCAGCACAGAGAUUGCUCUCAAGGGAUGUAGGAACGACUGAUUGAACGUGAACUGCGGUCAUUAAAUCUUUUAUGUCUGUGUUAAUGUCUACAAAUAAGCCUUAAUUUCUGUAGUUGCUGCAUAUCUCACACGGCUCCUGGCAAACUGAAGAGUGUUUCAUGAAUUCAGGACUUCAUUGUGUUUGCUGUGAAUCAGUUUGUUUUGUACUGACGAUGAUGUUGGCUAACUCCCUGAUAACCAGUACUUAUUUGAAAUAAUGUUCUCGGGAUUAUUUUAAGCACUGUCUGCCUUCCAAUCCAUGCUCCACACUGCGGCCGCCACCACCUCCUCUGAAGAGAAGAAUAUGUGGUUCUGGCUCAUGAAUCAUGUAAUGAACCCAGCCGAGACGCUGUUGGACACAAGUCUCCUCCACUCCUCUUCAGACAUCAGAUGAGUUUUCGGUACUUGUUUGGAAAGUUCUCUGGGUAACAUAACAUGCCGGUACUUGUAGUGCUCCUCGAAGUACUUUUCCGGGUAAUAGAUCUGCUGUGGGCCAUCCUGCUGGCACGCUGCAGGAAAUGAAAGGCGAGCGCUAAGAGGGGAAAUGAAAGAGAGUGCGAAGAGGGGAAAUGAAAGAGAGCGCGAAGAGGGGAAAUGAAAGAGAGUGCGAAGAGGGGGUGCAGAAGGCAACAUGUCCCCGUCCGGCCAAGGCAACGAUUGAUUUGCGAGAGACUAACCGGAUCCCGCAUCUCUUGUGGGUCCCCAUAGACACAUAGCAGAUGAAGCAAUCAGACAGGAUUUUUAUGCUCAGAGAGCUAAUAUGAGACCUGUCCCCAGUGGAGAUGGGCACGUGUCCAGAGAGGGGCUUCAGCACUGUGCUCCCCCCCCUUCCCCAAUGCCUGUCCACAUGGGAAAACGUAAAGGCAGAAAAGCUAACCAGCUGAAUAAUGGUGAGGAGACGACCUUUUCACUAGGGAAACUUGUAAAUGCUUUGUGCACAAACCCAGGGCUCACGGAGGUAUUAACCCAGGCACUAUCAUUUAGUUUGCCAGGGUUAUACGGAGAGCACAAAAGCUGCACCUCAGCAGUUGUCACUGACAUUGAACACACGGGAAUGGGACUCCCUGCAGUUCUAUACCACCAAACCUCACAUCUCACACUAAUGUCAGGGCAACCAGUGCGUGACUUGGCGGGCACCUUCGGAGGGAAGAAAAGCCCUCAGCAUCCUCAUAGCCCAGCUUCCUCACAGCCCAGCUUCAUGGACCACAGAUUUCUUUAACAUAGCAUAAGCAAGUGGAUGAUUGUUCUAGAUUGUCACUAGUGUUAUGUCAAACCAUAUCACUGAAGUCCAUUGAAAGCUCUCUUUCUAGCAACAAACACACAGGAAAAACAUUUGCAGCUCUUGUUGCCUUUGGAUAUAUGCAUUCCCAGAAUAAACUCCUUCCUGUGAAACUAA